UUCAUGAAGUAAAAAGCUAUAAUAUUAUUUUUAUCGCUGAUUGGUUAAAAAAAAACAAAUAAUAUAAAUUAACCAAUCACUAUUUGAAAGACAUACCACAGCGAGAUAUCAUCUGUGGUUAUACUAUGACUAUAUAACGAAACACACGUGCUUCACUUGAAUCAACCAUACAACCUGCAUCAUGUAUAAUCCUCGGUCGAGAUAUCGUAGCAGACGACGCUCGAAUCGACUUGACAGCACAGUCUGUAUUUUCACGUGUCCUCUUGUACAUCGCAUUGCGUAACUGGAGUCCGACUUCCAGGGAGGAGCUCCCUUUUUCGGUUUGACGUAAUUCGCGAAAUAUUUUAACUUAUCGGCCAAUUGGAUACUACCGAACGAGGUUUUCAACCAAUCAUAACGAUGUGUACAUACUUAUCAGGAUUAAACAAUAGAACUAGAACUCAUUUAUUAUAACAUUGUGAAAUUUACAUAUUUUCGUAGAAAAUUUAAAAAUGAUAAAAUAACAAUUCUAUAAUUGUUUAAAUUUUAAAUUCGUGAUUAAUUUCAAAAAUAUAUUUUAAUUAUCAAUUAAUUCAUCAUCAAUUAAGUCUUGUAUAUCAUUAAAGUUUAUUUUAACUAAGAUAGAUUAUAGAUAUAUUAAUAAUUUUUAUAACAAAUAAAAUUUUUAUUUAAUUUAUUACAUAUUUAAAUUAAUAUUAAUAUAUAUUAAUUUUGCAUUUGACAG